UACAGAGGGUGCGAGCGUUAAUCGGAAUUACUGGGCGUAAAGCGCGCGUAGGCGGCUUUGCAAGUCGGGUGUGAAAUCCCCAGGCUUAACCUGGGAACUGCAUUCGAGACUGCAUUGCUAGAGUAUGGGAGAGGGAAGUGGAAUUCCGGUGUAGCGGUGAAAUGCGUAGAUAUGCGGAGGAACACCGAUGGCAAAGGCAAUCCCCUGGGCCUGCACUGACGCUCAUGCACGAAAGCGUGGGGAGCAAACAGG
rnacentral:rRNA from 1 species